UACGGGGGGAGCAAGCGUUGUUCGGAUUUACUGGGCGUAAAGGGCGCGUAGGCGGCGUAACAAGUCACUUGUGAAAUCUCCGGGCUUAACCCGGAGCGGCCAAGUGAUACUGUUGUGCUAGAGUGCAGAAGGGGCAACUGGAAUUCUUGGUGUAGCGGUGAAAUGCGUAGAUAUCAAGAGGAACACCUGAGGUGAAGACGGGUUGCUGGGCUGACACUGACGCUGAGGCGCGAAAGCCAGGGGAGCAAACGGG
rnacentral:rRNA from 1 species